UUAGAAAAUCCAUGUGGAAAUAGUUUGCUUUGUUCUACAUUGAAAAGCAGCAGGAAGAAAAUACAGUCAAAAAGGCAGAAACAAAAGCAGUUGAAUGCAUCAAAAAUAAAAUAUAUAUAUAUAUCUAAGUUCCCUUGAAGCCAAAGUGCAUAAAGCACUCUGCAGUACCAUUUUAAAUGUCAUAGGGAACUCAUCUCCCGUGGGCAGUUUCUGCGUGUAGCUGACCCAACUACGCUAUAUUUGACUUCUGGGUUAACAGAGAUAACUAGGGAACAAGAGACAGAAUACAUUCUGAAAGAAGACUGAAAGAAAAAUGUCCCCAUGAGGACCGUCAUUCAUUAUGUCUGUCACCUGAGGAGGAACUAACACACAACUUUAAUGGUCCUCUUUUUAAAACGUUCCAUUUCUGCUGGAUGUUUCUGUCUGUUUGGUCCUAGGUAGUCUCCAAUGCAAGUUGUAUCUGUCUGUUUGGUCCUAGGUAGUCUCCAAUGCAAGUAGUAUCUGUCUGUUUGGUCCUAGGUAGUCUCCAAUGCAAGUAGUAUCUGUCUGUUUGGUCCUAGGUAGUCUCCAAUGCAAGUAGUAUCUGUCUGUUUGGUCCUAGGUAGUCUCCAAUGCAAGUAGUAUCUGUCUGUUUGGUCCUAGGUAGUCUCCAAUGCAAGUAGUAUCUGUCUGUUUGGUCCUAGGUAGUCUCCAAUGCAAGUAGUAUCUGUCUGUUUGGUCCUAGGUAGUCUCCAAUGCAAGUAGUAUCUGUCUGUUUGGUCCUAGGUAGUCUCCAAUGCAAGUAGUAUCUGAGACACUGCCUCUGUGGGAAGAGACUACGUCCUAGUGCAGCCGACUGUCUUUGGUCAAACACACAUGCUCCUGCCAUUCCCCACAUUCUCUAUUCAGAAAUGCAUAUUAUCGUCUUUACAGAUCAGAGAAAACACGGAGGCCAAACAGCACUUCUCUCUCACACAUCAGCAUACAGCCAGCAUAUUCACAUCCUCCUUGCAUACAUUAAACACUUGCAAAUUCUAUGAGCAAGCUCAUUCAUAUCAUAACUUCAGGAUCAUGUCUAACAUUUUAAUACAAUUUAAUGAUUUACUUUCAUAGGUCAAAUAUUAGAUUGUCACUCUGCAAGUGGUUCUGAGACAAGCUUGAUGUUAAUAUCAAGUAGCGGAGACGUCCCAGAGCUGUAGUACAGAAGAAGAAGAUAAUACUGUAACUGUAUAGAAAAAAAAUAGUCGUAUAGAAAACUUAGAAAAUAAAAACAAAUAGUCCUUCCCAACAACUCAAAUCAUACAAAAUUAAACUAACAACUGUCAUGAGUGACAGUUCUUUUUUCUUUCAAGGCAUAAAGAAAACAUUCAAUUUUCACCUAAAGUUCAAUCAACGCAUACUGUAACACACAAGCGUCCAUUUUGUCUCUACCGUGUAAAAACACGCCGUGAACUGCACAGGAACUGUAUG